AUACGUAGGUGGCAAGCGUUGUCCGGAAUUAUUGGGCGUAAAGCGCAUGUAGGCGGUGCCUUAAGUCUGUCGUGAAACUGCGGGGCCUAACCCCGUAUGGCGAUGGAAACUGGGGUACUUGAGUGCAGGAGAGGAAAGGGGAACUCCCAGUGUAGCGGUGAAAUGCGUAGAUAUUGGGAAGAACACCGGUGGCGAAGGCGCCUUUCUGGACUGUGUCUGACGCGGAGUUGCGAAAGCCAGGGUAGUGAACGGGAUUAGAUACCCCGGUAGUCCUGGCCGUAAACGAUGGGUACUAGGUGUGGGAGGUAUCGACCCCUUCCGUGCCGGAGUUAACGCAAUAAGUACCCCGCCUGGGGAGUACGGCCGCAAGGCUUAAACUCAAAGGAAUUGACGGGG
rnacentral:rRNA from 1 species